ensembl:lncRNA
AAAAUAUUUACAUGUAUAUAUUUAUAUUUAUAUAAUUUAUAUAUAUUUCAUAUAUAAACAUAUUUUUCUUAAAUAUAUACAUGCAUGUUUGUGUAUUUAUAAAUGCAUAAUAAAUAUACACAGUACACACACAUAAUAUGUACACACAAACUUUUAUUUUGGAUGCGAUUAAUCGUUUGACAGCACUAGUGUGUGUGUGUGUGUGUGUGUGUGUAUGUAUGUCCAAAAUACUCUGCAGCCUUUAUUGAAGAGUUCACAGAACUGUUAUCAAUGAUUUCCAGUUUUGCUAUUGCAGAGGAUUUUAAUAUUCACAUAGAUAAUGCAGAAAACAAAAUUACAAAAGAAAUUAUAAUUCAGCAUGUGCAUGGACCCACACACAAUCGUUGACACACUCUAGAUUUACUCAUCAGUAGAGGUCUAAACAUUUCAUUCAUUGUCAUUAAGGAUGUAGCACUAUCUGAUCACUUCUGUAUUUUCUUUGAGAUAUGGAUCUCUGAUACCACUGAAUCUAGAUCUGUCUCUGUCAGAAAGACACAGAGAUUUUACAGGUUUGGAACUACAUGGGGGUAAGUGAAUAAUGACAAAAUUUUCAUUUUGGGAUGGAGUAUCCCUUUACCUGUUUAGAAGCAGAUCUCUUAGAUGUGGUGAACUCCUCACUGCUUUCUAGGACUUUUCCAAAAUCCCUGAAAACUGCAGUUGUUAAGCCCCUUCUGAAAAAGAGCAAUCUUGAUAAGACCAUAUUGAGCAACUCUAGACCAAUAUCAAAUCUUCCUUUUAUAGUUACUUACAAGUAAGUAUACUCACAGCACAGAGACAAUACUCAUUAAGAUAAUAAAUGAUAUUCACUUAAAUUCUGAUUCUGGCAAAAUAUCAAUGCUGGUACUACUAGAUCUCAGUGCUGCGUUUGACACAGUUGAUCAUAACAUACUUAUAGAGAGACUGGAAAACUGGGUCAGGCUUUCUGGGAUGGUACUCAAAUGGUUCAGGUCUUUCUUAGAAUGGAGAGGUUAUUAUGUGAAUUUACCUAGCCUUAUUGGCAAAUGACUACAGCCCCAUUGACUCCCUCUGCCAAUGCAUUGAUGAAAUUAACAGUUGGAUGUGCCAAAACUUUCUUCAGUUAAACAAGGAGAAAACUGAAGUCAUUGCAUUUGGAAACAAAGACGAAAUUGAAAGGUGAAUGCAUAUCUUGACUCUAGGAGUCAAACAACUAAAAAUCAAGUCAAGAAUCUUGGUGUGAUUCUGGAGACAGACCUUAGUUUCAACUAAAUCAGUAACUAAAUCAGCAUACUAUCAUCUCAAAAACAUUGCAAGAAUUAGAGAAACUUGUUCAUGCCUUGUUCUGCUGCCAGGAUUCUGACAAGAACCAGAAAAUCUGAGCAUAUCACACCAGCCCUCAGGUCCUUACACUGGCUUCCAAUUAUAUUUAGGAUUGGUUUUAAAGGGGUCAUAUGCAAUUUUAAGUUUUCCUUUCUCUUUGGAGUGUUAGAAGCUGUUUGUGCAUAGAUAAGAUCCCUAAAGUUGCAAAGACUAAAGUCUCAAACCCAAAGAGAUAUUCUUCAUAAAAGUUAAGAUUCAUCCACACCCUCCUAAAACACCUAACUUAAAGUGCCCCCACAUGUCUACAUCACUGUGUGGAAAGAUUUGCAUAACAUCGCUCAAAUGUUCACGCAAAGAAAGAAGGCAUAACUUUGAUUCUUGCUGUAGUAUUAUUGCUGCCGUCGCCAUGUCGUGGAGACGCUGUGUUUCGUUGUGAAAGCGAAACUUCUUUGUUUGGUCUUCCAAAAGAGGACACAACUAGAAAUCAGUGGUUAAGUUGUAUUUACUAGGGAUGUGCCGAUCCGAUAUUCAUAUCAGGUAUCGGCUCCGAUACUGCCAUUUUUUUUUUUCGGAUCGGGAAUCGGUCAGAGAGGGCUGAUCCAUAUCCGAGAUUGUGCGUAUUAUUCUGUGUUACUUCUGAAGCCAUACGAUAGCUUAAAGGGUUAAAUUUUGUCAUUAAUCCCCCUUGUCGUUCCAAACCCGUAAAAGCUUCAUUUGUCUUCAGAACACAAUUUAAGAUAUUUUGGAAGAAAAACGUGAGGCUUGUGACUGUCCCAUUGACUGCCAAGUAAAUUACACUGUAAAGAUCCAGAAAAGUAUGAAAGACAUCGUGAGGAUAGUCCAUCUGCCAUCAGUGGUUCAUUCUGUAUUCCCAUUAUCAUACUUGAUUUGUAAAUAAAUGUCUAUGAUUUUGCAAAAACUUUAUCUUCUUGCCAGAGUUUAAUGUUGUUUUGUGUCUUGCUACUGGGUGUCUGUGAGAACAAAACAUGGGCGUAGAAAAGACUAUAAAUGGUUUUUAAUGUGCACAGUAACUGAAAUUUAAAACUGUUAAAAGAAAGGCUCAAUAACUGUUACACAGAUAUAAUACACUAUGCAUCAGUUUCUCUUCCCUUUGUGCUUUGCAUUUUUUAAUGCAAAGCGCUGCAUGCUGUGACUCUGUGUUGCUUCAAGCGCAUCAUUCUGCACACCGGAUGCGCAUAUUGUAAGUGCUUUGUGUCACACUGUAUUAGUUUUGUCCUAUCAAAUCUAUCAUAUGUUGUUUCCUUAUUAAAAAAUAUGUAUUUUAGAAAUGUAUUUUAAUUUUAUAGUAUAUACUUCUAUAUAAAUACAUUCAUGAAUGUUUUUCAUCAAUGGAUUUUAUAAUACAAAUAAAAAAAUGUGUAACAUUUUACCAUAUUUAGUGCAACACUUUUAUUUGUUC